AGUUUCAGGUAUACAGUACAGUGAUUCAACAAUUCUGUAUAUGACUCAGUGCUAAUCAAGUUAAAGGAAGCUGUCCGUUUCACUCAAGAACGUCCUUCAUGAGGCAGGAGAAACUGCUCGUUUAAUGUGGUCUCGAUCCUUGCGUACACAUCGUGUGAAUACUCCGUGAGACCCAUCGGGAAGUGUGCACCGUGGACGCUCUUACUGCUCGCUGAACACAACGGUGCUUGGCUUGCGAGCCAGACUGGUCCCUGUUUUCACCGAGCACCGUCUUUCCUGGAAAGAACAGCUGCCAGACAAAUUAUGAUUCAUUGAAACUUGGGUGCUCGGCAGACACGUUCUCAAAAAUGAAAUCACUUCAAGGAAAACAACUGACAAUACGAAUUGUAAUCAUAUUGAUAAACUUGGAACUUUCAGAUGAAAGUUAGACUCUUGUCACACUCGCACCCGCUACCAGGAGCUUGCCCGUGUGCGGGCGCUGGAAGACGUCCCUGGUGACGUGAAUGGCGACACUAACACACGUGACUUCCUGAAACCUGUCGACGUGGGGAAGAUCUGCCUGGCUCAGCGAAGUGACAUUUCCAAACGGUGCAGAGUCACAUUUUCUACUUCGUGACAUGAAAUAGGGGGACUCUUCCUUUCUAGGAAGAAAGAAAAGAGAGAAGAAGGAAGGAAGAAAAGAAAAAGAAACAGGAAGGAAGAAAGAAAGAAAAGAAGAAAGAAGAGGAAGAAGGAAG